rnacentral:tRNA from 1 species
GGAGGCGAUUGGGUGCCUGGUGGCCCUCCCGGUCUUCAAAACCGUAGGGAUCCGAGCAUCUCGGGUCGGCGGGUUCGAUUCCCGUUCGCCUCCGCA